UUUGACUUUAGCUUUAUUCUAUCUGCUCUAGGCUUAUAGGAGAAAGCCCACAACUUUUAAUUGUUGUUACAUGACACUUAAGACCCCUUUAGUGUUGUUGUUUUUAAAGCUACUUUACAUCUAUUUCCUCUCAUGUUAUCUUAACUUUUCAGCUUUUGAGCUUCUUUGGACAUUUGAAAAAUUUCAGACGAGUCUUGCGGAUAUUUUAUGCACGACCAAACUUCGGCGUCGCAGCCAGCAAGAGGCAGUGUGCGGAAGUGGAAGACAUUUGCUCCAUCUGCCAAGCUGAAUUUCAGAAGCCUGUUCUUCUCAUCUGCCAGCACAUAUUUUGUGAAGAAUGCAUUGCUCUGUGGUUCAACAGAGAGAGAACGUGCCCCCUGUGCAGAACCAUUAUCUCGGACCACAUCAACAAGUGGAAAGAUGGGGCAACUUCCGCACAACUACAGGUCUAUUAAAAACCCUGUCGGACACAAGAACUACAGUUUGAAUGCUGGUCUUUACCGUUUAAGGGGGUUGGGUGGAAAGGAGGCGUUAGAAGAAAAAGGUACUCAGGGGGUUAAGUCUACAUACGUCCAUCUCUCAACUGCUGCAGGACUUCGAGUCCAUUCAGACAUAAAGCAACUUGCUUUUGCUUGAAAGCCUCUUUUUCAUGCUGAAGUCACCCUUCAGUUGCUGGUUGUGUGUAAAAUAUGCCAGAGCUCUGUUCUCCAACCUUGGUUCCCCUGGUGCCUUUGCACUAGAACGCCCAUCGUCCCUGACCAUUACUGGCAGGGGCUGCUGAGAGUUGUAGUCCAAUUUCAUCACGGGAACCAAAGCUGAAUAACGUUGGUUGAGAAGUCCUCAAAACUUUUGGCAAUAGCCUCAAAUUCAGUUCCAUGCAGAUGUCUAAACCAGCCUGUUACCAAAGCACGAAUAGGAUCAGUAUUGCACGUGAUAUGCUAAAAAUCCAGUUUGCACAAAUGUUGAGAUUCUAUAUGAGCUACCACUUUAUGCCACUUGGCUCCUGUAGAAGCUGCUGGUUCCUUAUCCCUCCUGCCAUUCCAGCAGUAGCUACUUAUAUUCAUGCAAGAAAGUCACGAAUGAAUUUUUUGCUUCAAUUAUGCACACAUAAUUUUUCUACUUUUGUAAGCCUGGAUUUUUAAAAAGCAAAAUCUUAUAUUUUGUCAAACAACUACAUUUUAUUACAAAGCGGAAGAGAUCUAUUUUAGUGAUACUUAAGACAACAACCUGUGGUAUUACCUAAAAAUUGGUGAGAAUAAAAGCAGUUUUAAUCCAUU